CAGACACAUUUAUAACGUUUGAAUUUAACGUUCUAUUUUCAGAAUCCAGUUGUGUUGAAUAGCGUUAUAUAAAUUCCUAAAUUUCAAUUCAGAUGUCAUGAUUUUAGGAGAAUAUUAUCUUCUUCAAGAUGAAUAUUUAGGUCUGUUUCAGCUCUAGUAUUCAUUUCAGCUCUAAUUUCCUCACUUGAAGUGAGGAUAAAAAUGGUGGAUUUCAUUUAGUAGUAAUAAAUUUUUUUAGCUGAAGCAUUAUCAGUAAUGCAUGUCAAUGAAACAUGACUUUUUAUACUUGAACCAGACAUAUUAUUUUUAAAUCCCCAAAGAAUUUUCAUGUUAACUAUGACUUAAAAACUAUGGAAAUGUUUUAAAUGCUCAGCUUAUUUUACUAAUUUCAAAAAUCAAAAACUAUAUAAUCUUUGCUUGAUAUCAGAGUAUGGUUUCCUCUUACUACCACUGACUCAGAGCCUUCCAUGCCUCCCGGAGGCAAGUGCAGCUGAACUGAACUUUGUUCAGUAAAGACCUGAUAUUUUAUCCCGGGAAUCUUCUAUCUCUUUCCUGCCCUCACCCCUCUGCCCCAGGCUGAAGAGCACUCCACUGUCCAGAAGUAGCAGGUCCAAGAUUUUUACUUUCUGUGAUAAGUUAUAAGAAGAGAACUCACCCUAUUAUGGAGUAGGUCAGGAUAUUUUUCUGAUCUCUAUAGCAGUGUAUAAUUCAUGUCAUAACUUCAGCCACUUCACUUCAGUAUCCCAUAACAUGAAUCUUGUUAUAAAUUAUUUUUAUCUUUAUAAGUAUAUGAAGAUUCUGUAUUAAACCAUUCUUUCAUU
rnacentral:lncRNA from 1 species